rnacentral:piRNA from 1 species
UGGCAAGCAAGUCUUGAUCUAUAUUGUCUG